AUGCCGUCCUAGCCAGCAAACCCAGAUCCCAUGAAUGAAUAAAAAAACUCUCCAGCCAAGGGAAACUGCCUCUCAGUUUUAAGCCUGCCAAACCCUCCCAGAAUCGUUUAUGCUUCAAUGGGAUCAUUCUUCUCAACUGAAAGUACUGAUCACUCUACUCAAUCUCUCCUUGUGGGACAAUCUUCUCAUCCCAGGAAUCAAUCUAAUCAACCUUUUUUGCAACCCUUCUAAGACAAGAACAAAGGUGUGCACGAUAUUUCAGGUGUGGUCUCACGAAAGCCCUGUACAACUGCAGUUAAGACUAAUAUGACAUACCGGAAACCGCUCUCUACUCCAACCCUCUUGCAGUAAAGGCCAACAUACCAUUGCCUUCCUAAUUGUUCGUUGAACCUACGUUCUAACCUACUGUGGGAAAACAUUCCAUAAGGCUGCUUUCACGUGUGGGGAUCACAAGACGCAACUGUCUCUGAAGGCUUGGUCGGAAAGAAAAAGUACAGCAAAUGGAGUUACAGGCAAGAGGUUUUCUGUUUGGCACCAGCAGCAUUAGUGACGGAUUUUAGAGAUGGGUUGGAUUUUAUACAGUCUGACAGAGCAGGAGACAUGGUAGCCAGACCCACUUGAUCAUGGGAGAAGCCCUGUGUCAGUCUCCUGGUGGUGGGAAAAUGUCCCCAAUUAAGUAGAGGGCUGAGGGGACUGACACAGGAUUUCCCCACUGCAGGCAGCGGGAUGUCAAUUAGGCUCAUCAAUGAGUCAAUUGACAUCCAUUAUCCCUGAGUUCACGGCCAUUCAAUGGUGGCUCAGGGAUUAAAUGUAGGCCACACACCUUUCCCAUGUCCUUGGAAGGCUGCCCAGCAAAACCUAUUGGGUUUGCCAGUGGCCUGCCAGUGGGGUUCCUGAUAGUCAGGAACUCUGCACCUGAUCGAGGGACCCGGCAUUGGGCAGAGAGGGAGGGCUGUUGAAAGCCACACCUUCGCUCUUGCCUCCGAUCCUCCUCCCCAGUAACCCUCAACACAUGGUCCCAUCGUGCCCAUGUCCACCUUUGGUCUGGAGUCCCAGAAUGAUCCUGGACAUCUGGUGGGUGUGGUGCCACUAGUAGCCACUGGUCUCGCUAGCACUAGCAGCAUAAGGAGCUGUCAUUCUCUUCAUUCACUAGCAGCUCUCAGCAGGCGGGCCUUCCGUUGCCAGGGUCCUCGAUUGCUGGGAAGGUCUGACAGCAGCCAAUUAGGUGCCUGAAGGACAUUUGAUUCCAUUGGGUCUCCCUCAAGGAACUGACAGGGGUUCCCAUCAGUUCUCCAAAUGGCGGGUAAGACCCCCAACAAUAUCCCAGCCAAUGUGUCCAUGGGAGUUCAGGGUAUCUUCAAGGCACACCCUGAGAAGGGAACAGAGGUCAACUCCUUGGGUCUGACCCUGAGGACAUGGCCUCAAAUGGGUGAUCAAAGUCAGCAAAUACAUCUUCACAUGAUAUCACAAGACAGGAGCAGGCCAUAUAGCCCAGCAAGCCUGCUCCGAUAUUUAAUACCGUCAUGGUUCAUCUUGGGCUUCAACUCCACUUUUCCCAACCGCUUCCUGUAUCCCUUGAUUCCCUGAGACCUCAAAUAUCUCAGCCUUAAAUAUAUUCAGUGAUGGAGCAUCCACAAACUACAUCAUCUACCUACCACACCAUCAACCUCUCAAACAGUUCAAUGCACCACACUCCCAUGAUUCACCUAUCAGGACUCAUGCCCAACAUUGAGAUGCUCCACCACAGCCAAAUGCUUAACAAUGAUGCCAGCCGCACAACCUCCUUUCACAGCUUCCAUAUACCCCCAGCUCUUCAGCUAUGUCAGAUACACAAACUCAUUGCAGCACACACAUGAAUGUUCUUUCCUCUUUCUUGCAGGACAAGGUCAUACAUACCUCAGGGAGAACAGGGAACCAGCAGGGGAUUAACACACCUGCAUCUCCUGAGCCCUCUGGAGGAGACAGUGCAAUGCAUUACGGGGCCCAACUGUGACUGAGCCAGUUGUAUGCAGCAUUGCCAGGAACAUUCAGGGUGACAAUAUGUUCCUACCUUAUGAAGCUUCUCAAAUCUAAUUUCACCCUCUUUCUGCUAACCGGCAUGAAUUACAAGCUGCAGAUGACUUGACCCAGGACCUCUUCCUUUGAACCCCUCACCCUUCCAUCACCUGACAUUCUCAACCCGUAUUUUUACUUUCAGAAACCCAAAGCCUCCGCCUGAUCAGCCAGUGCAGUCUCAGUAUGAAAGGUCUCUGAUGAAGAAGCACCAUUAGUGAUCCAACCACCAGCUCAGAUAGAAGCACUGUGUGCACUUUAGAGGGCGGUGUAGAAUCAGGAUGAGCACAAGUGACCCUUGGACCACAGGCCAGGGUAACGAGUAACUUUAUGGUGGCUGCCUAGUAUGGUCAUUAGAAGAUGAAGUUUGAUUGAUGGACAUAACACUGGAAGGAAGACACCAUCAAAAGAUGCUUAAGCAAAUUGGAUAUUGUGAAGUCUUUAAGGCCUUGCAGAGCCUGUGAGAAGAAUUGAUAAGAACUGAGUCUUGAUUUGAGAAAGGAUUGUACCAGGCCUUGGAAGGCUAGAACGGAGCUAGAAAUUUGGCUUAAAGGGACGCUACUUCGAGGACUCACUCCUUCAGCCGUAGUGGAAUAGCCACCACUGAAGAUGGGAGGAAGGGCCAGGAUCAGAGUGACUGACCACAGUGCCCACGUGUAGGUUACUCAGUGACUUGGUAAUGUAUGUACCAAGGAGAUGGUAACGUAUGUACCAAUUUGGGGUGCUGUCGUGGAACAGACUAAGUUGGGGCUAUCCAUUUGGGAGCUGGCAUGGAACAUCCAAAUUGGGGUUGUUCUUUGUGCUUUAGAAAAAUCUGUCUUUCUUCUUUUCUUCUGCUAUAUGUAAAGUGCUUUCUCCUUUCAAUAAAGUUACCUUUCUUUUUA